rnacentral:rRNA from 1 species
GAUGAACGCUAGCGGCAGGCCUAACACAUGCAAGUCGAGGGGUAACGUGAGUGCUUGCACUUGACGACGACCGGCGCACGGGUGCGGAACGCGUAUGGAACCUACCUUUAUCAGGGGGAUAGCCCAUGGAAACGUGGAUUAAUACCCCAUAGUAUUAUUUUAUUGCAUGAUAGAAUAAUUAAAGAAUUUCGGAUAGAGAUGGCCAUGCGUAUCAUUAGCUAGUAGGCGAGGUAACGGCUCACCUAGGCGACGAUGAUUAGGGGUCCUGAGAGGGAGAUCCCCCACACUGGUACUGAGACACGGCCCAGACUCCUACGGGAGGCAGCAGUGAGGAAUAUUGGGCAAUGGAGGCAACUCUGACCCAGCCAUGCCGCGUGCAGGAAGACGGCCCUACGGGUUGUAAACUGCUUUUAUACAGGAAGAACACCACCCACGUGUGGGUGACUGACGGUACUGUAAGAAUAAGGACCGGCUAACUCCGUG